rnacentral:rRNA from 1 species
GACGAACGCUGGCGGCGUGCUUAACACAUGCAAGUCGAGCGGUAAGGCCCUUCGGGUACACGAGCGGCGAACGGGUGAGUAACACGUGGGUGACCUGCCUCUAGCUCUGGGAUAAGCCUGGGAAACUGGGUCUAAUACCGGAUAUGACUCCACGGCGCAUGUUGUGGGGUGGAAAGCCUUGUGUGGCUAGAGAUGGGCCCGCGGCCUAUCAGCUUGUUGGUGGGGUGAUGGCCUACCAAGGCGACGACGGUAGCCGGCCUGAGAGGGCGACGGCCACACUGGGACUGAGACACGGCCCAGACUCCUACGGGAGGCAGCAGUGGGGAAUCUUGCGCAAUGGGCGAAAGCCUGACGCAGCGACGCCGCGUGAGGGAUGACGGCCUCGGGUUGUAAACCUCUUUCAGCCCUGACGAAGCGAAAGUGACGGUA